CGUGUGUGUUUUUAUCAGUUACCUACUUUUGUUAUCGGAUAACAAAACUAAGGGUAUGACAAAAAAAAUUUGGGUUUCGCUAGUUCGAUGUCGUAACGUCAUUACUAGAUCAGAGAGGUGUGGAGUGUGCAAUAACCUGCCAGGAUAUGUCAACAAAUAGAGGACAAGUUGCGGGGUUUUAAGCAGUAAAACAGCAGGGUGUGAGAUUUAAAGAACUAUCAAGAAAGUGUGUGAGUAGGAUCACCGUUUGGG